UGCCUUAGUAGCGGCGAGUGAAGCGGCAAUAGCUCAAAUUUGAAAUCUGGCACCUUCGGUGUCCGAGUUGUAAUUUGAAGAAGGUAUCUUUGGUUUUGGCUCUUGUCUAUGUUCCUUGGAACAGGACGUCACAGAGGGUGAGAAUCCCKUGCGAUGAGAUGCCCAAUUCCAUGUAAAGUUCCUUCGACGAGUCGAGUUGUUUGGGAAUGCAGCUYUAAGUGGGUGGUAAAUUCCAUCUAAAGCUAAAUAUUGGCGAGAGACCGAUAGCGAACAAGUACUGUGAAGGAAAGAUGAAAAGAACUUUGAAAAGAGAGUGAAAAAGUACGUGAAAUUGUUGAAAGGGAAGGGCUUGAGAUUAGACUUGGAAUUUUCCAUUUAUGGAGCUUUCCGGGCCAGCAUCAGUUUGGAUGGCAGGAUAAUUGCGUUGGAAAGUAGCACCACUUCGGUGGUGUGUUAUAGACUUCGUCGAUACUGCCUAUCUAGACUGAGGACCGCGUCUUUGACUAGGAUGCUG
rnacentral:rRNA from 1 species